rnacentral:rRNA from 1 species
CCGGAGGAAGUGGGAUGACGUCAAGUCCUCAUGGCCCUUGUAGGUGGGGCUACACACGUCAUACAAUGGAUGGUACAAAGGGUCGCCAACCCGCGAGGGGGAGCCAAUCCCAUAAAGCCAUUCGUAGUCCGGAUCGCAGUCUGCAACUCGACUGCGUGAAGUCGGAAUCGCUAGUAAUCGUGGAUCAGAAUGUCACGGUGAAUACGUUCCCGGGUCUU